AAGCACUGGAUGGAGAGCGGCGGACUGGUGAGUAACGCGUGAGGAACCUGCCUCUAUGAGGGGGAUAACACUGGGAAACCAGUGCUAAUACCGCAUAAUGUACAGAGAGCGCAUGCUUUUUGUACCAAAGAUUUAUCGCAUAGAGAUGGCCUCGCGUCCGAUUAGCUAGUUGGAGGGGUAACGGCCCACCAAGGCGACGAUCGGUAGCCGAACUGAGAGGUUGAUCGGCCACAUUGGGACUGAGAUACGGCCCAGACUCC
rnacentral:rRNA from 1 species